GAACAUUUAGGCAGAAGCCAUUUCAGAAUCAAGGUAUAAGCUUUGACCUUUCUGUUGAUGUAUAUAUACAUAGAUUUUGUUGUUUGAGGCUAGAAACAACAUGGGUGUCUUCAAAUCUUCUUCUCUGCUCCUUGUUUUGGUCCUAUUCAUAGCAUCAUCCACAUCGAUUUCCCAAAAACCAGCAAGAUUUGCAGAAGCAAGGCCACUUCCUCUCAUACCUCAAUUACCAAGAUACUCGAAGAUUAUUGCAAGUUUGGGGAUUGUAUGCGAGUGUUGUGAUGGUAAUGGAAGGGAAUGUUCAAGUACAUGGACCGACUCUUGCUCUGACCUUCAUUGCCUGCCUUGGAAGACAUACACACACUAGUUAGUUGAUCUUCUAAAUUUUUUUCUCUCUCUCUGUAUUUUAGGGUUUUUGUGUUUGUUCUUGUACAUAAUAGAGUUGAAGAUUUCUACUUAAUUACUCGUAUUUGUAUAUGAUUUGUGUGGUAUUAGUGCUGCAA